rnacentral:rRNA from 1 species
GACGAACGCUGGCGGCGUGCUUAACACAUGCAAGUCGAACGGUAAGGCCCUUCGGGGUACACGAGUGGCGAACGGGUGAGUAACACGUGGGUGAUCUGCCCUGCACUUCGGGAUAAGCCUGGGAAACUGGGUCUAAUACCGGAUAGGACCCUGGGAUGCAUGUCCUGGGGUGGAAAGCUUUUGCGGUGUGGGAUGGGCCCGCGGCCUAUCAGCUUGUUGGUGGGGUGAUGGCCUACCAAGGCGACGACGGGUAGCGGGCCUGGGAGGGGGCCCGGCAACACUGGGACUGAGAUACGGCCCAGACUCCUACGGGAGGCAGCAGUGGGGAAUAUUGCACAAUGGGCGCAAGCCUGAUGCAGCGACGCCGCGUGAGGGAUGACGGCCUUCGGGUUGUAAACCUCUUUCAGCACCGACGAAGCGCAAGUGACGGUAGGUGCAGAAGAAGGACCGGCCAACUACGUGCCAGCCGCCGCCGUAA